GGAGCGGCAGACGGGAUAGUAACACGUGGGAACGUACCCUUCAGUUCGGAACAACCCAGGGAAACUUGGGCUAAUACCGAAUACGUCCGUAAGGAGAAAGAUUUAUCGCUGAAGGAUCGGCCCGCGUCUGAUUAGCUAGUUGGUGAGGUAAUGGCUCACCAAGGCGACGAUCAGUAGCUGGUCUGAGAGGAUGAUCAGCAUCACUGGGACUGAGACACGGCCCAGACUCCUACGGGAGGCAGCAGUGGGGAAUAUUGGACAAUGGGCGCAAGCCUGAUCCAGCCAUGCCGCGUGGAUGAUGAAGGCCCUAGGGUUGUAAAGUCCUUUCGACGGGGAAGAUAAUGACGGUACCCGUAGAAGAAGCCCCGGCUAACUUCGUGCCAGCAGCCGCGGUAAUACGAAGGGGGCUAGCGUUGCUCGGAAUCACUGGGCGUAAAGCGCACGUAGGCGG
rnacentral:rRNA from 2 species